CCGUUGUUGAAGUUCUUGAGGUCGCGUGGGGAUUGGCCGUUGUUGAAGUUCUUGAGGCAGCGGGUUGAGCCGGCGUUGCUGAUAUUCUUGCGCCCGCAGGCGAAACUGCCAUUGCUGGCGUUCUUGAUGCGGCAGAGGGAGACACCCUUGCUGACGAUCUUGAUGCCGCAGACGUAGCCGCCCUUGGUGAUGUUGUUGAGGCCACGAGCGGAGCCACCGUUGUUGGCGUUCUUGAGGUAGCCGCCGGCGUUGGUGUUCUUGAGGUAGCCGCCGGCGUUGGUGUUCUUGAGGUAGCCGCCGGCGUUGGUGUUCUUGAGGUAGCUGCCGGCGUUGGUGUUCUUGGGGUUGUGGGUGGACCCGCCGGUGACCUCGCCUUCUUCUGACCGAGAAACCUUCCUGGCAACAUGACAGGAUAUUGAUCUUCUUCUUCGAGAUGAGGUGAGGUGAGCUGAGUGGGGUGGAUAUG
rnacentral:lncRNA from 1 species